rnacentral:rRNA from 1 species
AAUGGGAGCAAUCCCUAGUAGAGCGGCGCACGGGUGCGUAACACGUGGGUAAUCUGCCUGGAAGACCGGGACAACCUUCCGAAAGGAAAGCUAAUACCGGAUAAGCCUACGGGGUCUUCGGACCUUGGAGGAAAAGGUGGCCUCUGUAUACAAGCUAUCACUUCCAGAUGAGCCCGCGGCCCAUCAGCUAGUUGGCGGGGUAACGGCCCACCAAGGCAACGACGGGUAGCUGGUCUGAGAGGACGAUCAGCCACACUGGAACUGAGACACGGUCCAGACUCCUACGGGAGGCAGCAGUGGGGAAUUUUGCACAAUGGGCGAAAGCCUGAUGCAGCAACGCCGCGUGUGUGAUGAAGGUCUUCGGAUUGUAAAGCACUUUCGACCGGGACGAAACACCCUUGGCUAACAUCCAAGGGCCUGACGGUACCGGGAGAAGAAGCACCGGCUAACUCUGUGCCAGCAGCCGCGGUAAUACAGAGGGUGCAAGCGUUGUUCGGAAUUAUUGGGCGUAAAGCGCGUGUAGGCGGCUUUGCAAGUCGGGUGUGAAAUCCCUCAGCUUAACUGAGGAAGUGCGCCCGAAACUGCCGAGCUUGAGUACCGGAGAGGGUGGCGGAAUUCCCUAAGUAGAGGUGAAAUUCGUAGAUAUGGGGAGGAACACCGGUGGCGAAGGCGGCCACCUGGACGGAUACUGACGCUGAGACGCGAAAGCGUGGGGAGCAAACAGGAUUAGAUACCCUGGUAGUCCACGCCGUAAACGAUGAGAACUAGGUGUCGUGGGUGUUGACCCCCGCGGUGCCGUAGCUAACGCA